UUCUGCCCCAUCUCCCGGCUUCCCAUGUGUUUCCCCUCCUUCUCCCAUGUCUGUGCCGCCCCCGAGGUCGGAGCGGUGCCCCUGGGCCAGCCUGCUCCUCCCCUGCUCAGCGUGUGGAGCGGUCCCCAGCCCCCUGCUCAGCUCAGCCUCGGCCAGGAACGCCAUGGCCUCACUCUGGAGCUCCUGCGUGGUGCUGCCCCUGCUGGCGCUCACCUGGAUGUCUGCCGUCCUGGCUAUGACAGACCGCCGUUCCGUCCUCUUCCAGGCCCUCUUUGCUGUCUUCAACUCCGCGCAGGGCUUUGUCAUCACUGCUGUGCACUGCUUCCUGCGCCGAGAGGUCCAGGAUGUGGUGAAGUGCCAGAUGGGGGUGUGCCGGGCUGAUGAGAGCGAAGACUCCCCUGACUCGUGUAAGAACGGGCAGCUGCAGAUCCUGUCAGACUUUGAAAAGGAUGUGGAUCUGGCUUGUCAAACAGUGCUGUUCAAGGAGGUCAACACUUGCAACCCGUCCACCAUCACGGGCACACUAUCCCGCCUGUCCCUGGAUGAGGAUGAGGAGCCCAAGUCCUGCCUCGUGGGCCCUGAGGGCAGCCUCAGCUUCUCACCACUGCCUGGGAAUAUCCUGGUGCCCAUGGCAGCCUCACCAGGGCUGGGGGAGCCUCCGCCCCCACAGGAGGCCAACCCUGUUUACAUGUGUGGGGAGGGCGGCCUGCGGCAGCUGGACCUCACAUGGCUGCGGCCCACUGAGCCAGGCUCUGAGGGAGACUACAUGGUGCUGCCCCGGCGGACUUUGAGCCUGCAGCCUGGCAGUGGGGGUGGAGGUGGUGAGGAUGCCCCCAGGGCCCGGCCCGAGGGGACCCCCCGGCGAGCUGCCAAGACAGUGGCCCACACUGAAGGCUACCCCAGCUUCCUGUCCGUGGACCACUCGGGCCUGGGGCUGGGCCCUGCCUAUGGAUCUCUCCAGAAUCCCUAUGGAAUGACCUUCCAACCGCCACCGCCGACACCCAGCGCCCGCCAAGUGCCCGAGCCAGGGGAGCGCAGCCGGACCAUGCCUCGCACCGUGCCCGGCUCUACCAUGAAGAUGGGCUCCCUGGAGCGAAAGAAAUUACGGUAUUCAGACCUGGACUUUGAGGUGAUGCACACCCGGAAACGGCAUUCAGAACUCUACCACGAGCUCAACCAGAAGUUCCACACUUUCGACCGCUACCGCAGCCAGUCCACGGCCAAGAGGGAGAAGCGGUGGAGUGUGUCCUCGGGUGGGGCGGCCGAGCGGAGCGUGUGCACCGAUAAGCCCAGCCCUGGGGAGCGCCCCAGCUUGUCCCAACAUCGGCGCCAUCAGAGCUGGAGCACCUUCAAAUCUAUGACACUGGGCUCGCUGCCCCCCAAGCCCCGAGAACGGCUGACUCUGCACCGGGCAGCAGCCUGGGAGCCCACAGAACCACCAGAUGGUGACUUCCAGACAGAGGUGUGAGUGCCACGCUGGACUGCCCACUGCAUAUAAAUAUAUAUAUCUCUCUAUUUUCACACUCCACUUUGGAACUACCCAGGAGCCAGCGCCCUCUCCCCUCUCCCGAGGGCUGGGCAGGGAGGCGCCGUGGACUCAGCCAGGCUGGGGGAGCCGGACAUGGCUUGGCCUGGGGUCCCAGGGCCCUCCUUGUUUCUCAGAGGCCCCUCAGCCACUGGAACCCCAUCUUCAGCCCAGCCUGUCCGUCCCUGUCCC
rnacentral:sRNA from 1 species